rnacentral:rRNA from 1 species
AGUGAACGCUGGCGGUAGGCCUAACACAUGCAAGUCGAACGGCAGCACAGUAAGAGCUUGCUCUUACGGGUGGCGAGUGGCGGACGUGUGAGGAAUAUAUCGGAAUCUACUCUUUCGGGGGGGAUAAGGAAGGGAAACUUACUCUAAUACCGCAUACGAUCUUCGGGGGAAAGCAUUGGAUCUUCGGACCUUGCGCGAUUGAAUGAGCGGAUGUCGGAUUAGUUAGUUGGCGGGGUAAAUACCCACCAAGGCGGGGAUCCGUAGCUGGUCUGAGAGGAUGAUCAGCGACACUGGAGCUGAGACACGGUCAAGACUCCUGCGGGAGGCAGCAGUGGGGAAUAUUGGACAAUGGGCGCAAACCUGAUCCAGCCAUACCGCGUGGGUGAAGGAGGCCUUCGGGUUGUAAAGCCCUUUUGUUGGGAAAGAAAAGCAGCAGGUUAAUACCCAGCUGUUCUGACGGUACCCAAUGAAUAAGCACCGGCUAACUUCGUG